GACAGAGGGUGCAAACGUUGUUCGGAAUUACUGGGCGUAAAGCGCGUGUAGGCUGCUUGGCAAGUCGGAUGUGAAAGCCCUGGGCUCAACCCAGGAAGUGCAUUCGAAACUGCCGAGCUGGAGUCCUGGAGAGGAAGGCGGAAUUCUCGGUGUAGAGGUGAAAUUCGUAGAUAUCGAGAGGAACACCGGUGGCGAAGGCGGCCUUCUGGACAGUGACUGACGCUGAGACGCGAAAGCGUGGGGAGCGAACAGG
rnacentral:rRNA from 1 species